rnacentral:rRNA from 1 species
UACGGGGGGGGCAAGCGUUGUUCGGAAUUACUGGGCGUAAAGGGCGCGUAGGCGGUUUGCUAAGUUGAAUGUGAAAACUCUGGGCUUAACCCAGAGCCUGCAUUCAAUACUGGCAGGCUAGAGUUCUGGAGGGGAUAGCGGAAUUCCUGGUGUAGCGGUGAAAUGCGUAGAUGUCAGGAGGAACACCGGUGGCGAAGGCGGCUAUCUGGACAGAGUCUGACGCUGAGGCGCGAAAGCUAGGGGAGCAAACAGG